UGUAAGGGCCCGCUUUAGCUUAUGUCUUGUUGGUAUAUUAAUAUAUUUGUUGCGAUUUAAUCUCCUUUUGGGUCCUUUCAGUUUUGCACAUGGAAGAAGAAGGUCGUUUGCAAAUAGAUGCGAGGGUUGAUUUUGCUUCUUAUCGAAGGAAUCCUCGAUUGUUUAUACUUGCUGAUGUUUAAUAUAUGGACUUACUUAUUCUAUGCGCAUUUAGAUAUUGUGAGAGAAUAAUUAAAUAGUAUUUUGAGAUUUUUGUUGAGUGAUUUAAAUCUGUAAGUUAUGCAGUUUAUAUAGCAGGGAGGUAGGCUGGUAUUAUUUGCUUAUUUUUAAUAUAGUUGUAUUUAUUGUACGGAUAUAUCUGUGUAAUUACCGAAGGAUUUAAACAUUAAAUUGAUUAAUAGCUUUUCUAUUAUACUUUGCAGUUAUCAUAAUGACUAUUUGUUUUGUGACCUGCUACAAUUUAAUCCUGGAGUAUUGAGGUGUUUAUUUGUGUGUUACUGGAAGGUGUGCACUUAAACGAGAGGUAAAAGAGCAGGUCGAUAUCCGAAGGUAAUACGAAUUAUUAAAUUGGUAAUAUGUCUUGCAAAUUUAUGAAGGUAAUUAUGUGGUUUCCCACGCGAAUUUUGAUAACAAUGCAUUCCUUUGUAAUGCAGGAUUAAAAAUAGACAUGUGUAAACAUCACUGCUAGCAGUGUAGCAGACGAUUUCUGUAUACAAGUGGCGAGUUAUUCAUGAGUCUGUUAAACUAUAUGUAGUACAAUAAACACGUGGAAGAGUCUAUUAUUCAUGAUACCUGCUUACAAACAGAGUAGGGUUUAAGCAACUUUAUCAGAUUUAAUCUCGCUGAAAAGUAUUUUCUUCUAAAGUGAAGUAAUUAAACUUCCAUUUCUGAGGAAAAUAAGUAGGUUCACUUUUCAAUAUACCACCGUUUCUUGCAGUAUGUUUGUUUUUAGUCCUGAUGGUUAAUGUAUAUGGUUUGUAUAGAAAAAUAUUGUUAAUAAAACAAUCAAAUGAAUAAAUAUAAAGCAAGUUGGCUUCCUACAAAAGAAAAAGUAGUUAUAACUUAUUGUCAUUUGUAGAAGGAUGACUGUUUUUCAGAUCUUAAUCUAUAGUUAGCCUUUCAGAUCAUAAUCUAUAGUUAGCCCAAUUGCUAAUGUCUGAUUGUAUCAGCUGGUACUGGCUUAGGAAAAAGGGUGCCAUCCUUAUCCUUUUGUAUUGGUUUGUAACUGGAUUUUGAAUUUAUGAUUACUGCUUAGGGAUGAAGAGAAAGUUGUUAUUAUCUCCAUUGUGUUGGAUGGUAUUUGAUUUUGAAUUUAUGAUUAAUGUAUAUUGACUGUGUUUCGCCCAUUUGGCUAUAUGUUCGAUCGUUUCUAAUAAAAAAAAGAGAAAGUUAAGAAAGUUGCUGUUAUCUCCAUUGUGUUGAAUGGUACUUGAUUUUGAAUUUAUGAUUAAUGUGUAUUGACUGUGUUUCGCCCAUUUGGCUAUGUUCGAUCGUUUGUAAUAAAAAAAGAGAAAGUUAAGAAAGUUGCUAUUAUCUCAAUUGUGUUUGAUGGUACUUGAUUUUGAAUUUAUGAUUAAUGUGUAUUGACUGUGUACCGCCCAUUUGGCUAUAUUCGAUCAUUUCUAAUAAAAAAAAGAGAACGUUAAGAAAGUUGCUGUUUUCUCCAUUGUGUUGGAUGGUACUUGAUUUUGAAUUUAUGAUUAAUGUAUAUUUACUGUGUUUCGCCAAUUCGGCCAUGUUCGAUCAUUUCUAAUAAAAAAAAGAGAACGUUAAGAAAGUUGCUAAUAUCUCUAUUGUGUUGGAUGGUACCUGAUUUUGAAUUCAUGAUUAUAAUGACUGUGUUUCGCCCAUUUGGCUAUGUCUGAUCAUUUCAAAAAAAAAAAAAAAAUGGUUGCCUAUUAUAUCCAUUGUGUUGGAUGGUAACCGGAUUUUGAAUCUAUGAUUAAUGUAUAUUGAUGAACUCUAUUUAGCCCAUUUGGCUGUGUUCGAUCAUUUAAAAAAAAAAAAAAAAUAGGUUGCCCAUUAUAUCCAUUGUGUUGGAUGGUAACCAAAUUUUUGAAUUUUUGAUUAUUGUACAUUAAGUGUUUAGCCCAUUUGGCUAUGUUCGAUCAUUUAAAAAAAAAAGAAAGAAAGAAGUUGCCCAUUAUAUCCAUUGUGUUGGAUGGUAACCAGAUUUUGAAUUUAUGAUUAUUGUAAAUUGAUGAACUAUGUUCAGCCUAUUUGGCUAUGUUCGAUAAUUUCAAAAAAAAAAAGUUUGCCGAUUAUAUCCAUUGUGUUGGAUGGUAAACAGAUAUUGAAUUUAUGAUUAUUUUACAUCGAUGAACUGUGUUUAGCCCAUUUGGCUAUGUUUGAUAAUUUCAAAAAAAAAAGAAAAAAUGUUUGCCGAUUAUGUCCAUUGUGUUGGAUGGUAACCAGAUAUUGAAUUUAUGAUUAUUUUACAUCGAUGAACUGUGUUUAGCCCAUUUGGCUAUGUUCGAUCAUUUAAUAAUAAUAAUAAUAAAAAUAAUAGGUUGCCGAUUAUAUCCCUUUUGUUGGAUGGUAACCGGAUUUUGAUUCUAUGGUUAAUGUACAUUGAUGAACUGUGUUUAGCCCAUUUGGCUAUGUUCAAUCAUUUUUUAAAAAAGGUUUCGGAUUAAAUGCAUUGUGUUGGAUUGUAACCGGAUUUUGAAUUUAUGAUUAAUGUAUAUUGAUGAACUUAUUUUAGCCGAUUAUAUCCAUUGUGUUGGAUGGUAACCAGAUUUUGAAUUUAUGAUAAAUGUAUAUUGAUGAACUGUGUUUAGCCCAUUUGGCUAUGUUCAAUCAUUUAUAAAAGAAUAGAUUGCCGAUUAUAUCCAUUGUGUUUGAUGGUAACCGGAUUUUGAAUUUAACAUUAAUGUAUAUUGAGGAACUGUGUUUAGCCCAUUUGACUCUGUUCUAUCAUUAACAAAAUGGUUGCCGAUUAUAUAAUUUGUGUUUGAUGGUAAACGGAUGGUUGCCGAUUAUAUACUUUGUGUUGGGAUGGUAAUCGGAUUUUUAAUUUAUAAUUAAUGUAUAUUGAUGAACUGUGUUUGCCCAUUUGGCUAUGUUCUAUCAUACAAAAAGAGAGUUGCUCAUUAUAUUCAUUGUGUUGUAUGGUAAUUAGAUUUUGAAUUCAUGACUAAUGUAUAUUGAUGAACUUAUUUUAGCCCAUUUGUUAAAUGAUUGACCAUUUCAGUCUUAUUGUCUGAAUGCCCACUAUAGACAUUGUGUAUGCUGGUGACAUGAUUUCGAAUUGAUGUGCUGCCAAAUUGCAAAUUUUUCAUAUUUUCCUUUCUAUCUCAAAGUUUAUAACGGGCUAGCGACAAAUUUACAUAUAUCAAUAUACUUUUUGCCAAAUUUUCAAGUAUACAAUUGAAUAUUUCUAGACAACGUCAAAAACCCAAGGAGUUCCGCAACACAGUCCAGAUGGUACAGCCACACCGCAACGCCACCCAGCCGUUUCAGCCCUGCAACCGGUGAAUCUGAACCCGCAACAACUUGUGGUUGUGGUGAGCCUUGUUGCAGAACACCAUUGUUCCGUGUUUGCGCAGCGAAGGGGCAUUUUGGCUGAUGAUUCGCUGCACUGUCAGACAGUGUUGAACAAAAUGGCAUUACAGUUUUCAGCAGUAAUUUCCCUGACCAUUUUGAUUUUUAAGGAUAUGUGAGCUUGUACGCUCGAACUCAAACUCCUCGAAUAUAAGUGCUAAAGGUCACGCAUUAUGUGAGGGAGACGUUAGUAUUCUUUUCAGUGCGUCCUACCCAUAUUUGGAUAGUUGGAUGUUCAAUUAUAAAGUCGGUAUUUCGUUACGACAAGGAAUCAGCUGAGUGUUCUCAACUUGUAAUGCAGCGUCAUAAUGCGACUAUACUGUGUCAGAGUCAGGAUGGUAUGAAAUGGCGGCAAGUUAAACCAUUAAUCUUACACUUGUUUCCUUUUGAAGACAAUCAAGGUAUCAUUGUUAUUCAUUGAGUAAUUAACUUAUUUUUCAUAAGAGAGAGCUAGAAAACGCGUUAAUAAUUUCGCUGCUCAUUUGUUGUUGUUUUUAAAUACAUUGGUGGAUACGUUCGUUAACCAGAAAUCGUCGAAUCCGUGACGGGUCUCUUCAACAGGGAUGGGAUGCACUUGUCAUAAUUUGGAAAUAUUAUGUUUUUAUUCACUCUGCAACACAAGCGUCAGUCCUUUUUAGCAGUAAAUUGUUAAGGCACAGCUUCUCAGGCAGGGUUUGCUUCGCUAUACUGGUGGCGGUUGUCAAGAAUUUUCCACGUUGUUCCCAAUUUUCGACAUGUGGCGGUUAGGUCAGCCUCCACCAGUAUAUCUUAACGUUGUGUAAUAAGUUUGUUUGUUUCAAGUAUACUGUAUUAGGCCUCUGUUCACAGGGCCUCCACAUCUGCAUUUUAAACAUAUACUUUAUAUCAUAUGUAUUUGUAUAUUGACAUUUAUGUGAAGCUGUGACCAAUUUCUGCCAACCAUUAAUUUAAACGAAAUUAGAUACUAAUUGCUUGCUAUAGUAAAAUUAUUAAUAGUAAAAGUAAUGUAUUCAUACAACUGUCUUGGGUUGUUCUUUUUAGUAUUAUUAUUUCUGUGCCAAGCUAUCUUCAGUAAUGUGUUUUUAAUGAUUACCAUUCAAAACCUGUUACUGAAGGAGCUCUUAUCCUGUUGUAAGGGCCCGCUUUAGCUUAUGUCUUGUUGGUAUAUUAAUAUAUUUGUUGCGAUUUAAUCUCCUUUUGGGUCCUUUCAGUUUUGCACAUGGAAGAAGAAGGUCGUUUGCAAAUAGAUGCGAGGGUUGAUUUUGCUUCUUAUCGAAGGAAUCCUCGAUUGUUUAUACUUGCUGAUGUUUAAUAUCCCACCCUCCACUCCCCUUAUUUUGCUUGUGUUCUCUUUUUUCUUUAUAA